GACAGAGGGUGCAAACGUUGCUCGGAAUCACUGGGCGUAAAGGGCGUGUAGGCGGGAAGGAAAGUCAGAUGUGAAAUCCCUGGGCUCAACCCAGGAACUGCAUUUGAAACUCCCUUUCUUGAGUGUCGGAGAGGAAAGUGGAAUUCCUGGUGUAGAGGUGAAAUUCGUAGAUAUCAGGAGGAACACCGGUGGCGAAGGCGGCUUUCUGGACGACAACUGACGCUGAGACGCGAAAGCGUGGGGAGCAAACAGGAUUAGAAACCCCCGUAGUCC
rnacentral:rRNA from 1 species